UAAGGAAAAAAAUAUUGAAGAAGACUUAAGCAAGCCUUUUUCUUUUAAUAUUGAUGACCACCAUGAUAUAGUUGGGCCAAAAUUAUAGCUUGAGGCCGAAAACCCCUUGCAUCGGAGCACUCUCCUAACUUCCUUUUCAGUGGUGGUGCACUCAUAAGUGGAUCCAACCAUCGGUUUUUUGUGUCUUCUGAAGGGCACCCUCUUUCCACCUUUAUUAUAAAACUCUUAACAACUUCUUCAUGAUUGUUUCUAGCCAUGAUCGAUGAGAAAAGGUCAUGAAUCAGGGGAGAAAGAUUUAGAAAAACGAGGCCUUACCACAAAAAACCAUGAGAGCGAAGCACACAAACAAAUAUAAAGAAAAGUCAAGACUAAAAAAAUGAAUGGGGAAAGGAAAUUGAAAAACCAAUUGAAAACUUGAAGAAAUUCAAAAAGUGGUCACAGAAAGAGCACAAAAAAACUUGGAAAUUUUGAGACAGCAAAAUAACUUGAAGAUUGACGAAAAAACUUAUAUAUAGACCUCUUCCAAAACGGUGCGUUUCAUUGCACAAACAAUUUGAAGCCUCACAACUGAUGUCACCCAAACACGUGUCUCAUGCAGCAGUGCAUCAUUAACCCUAUUUCCUAUGAACAACGGUUCAAUUUUU
rnacentral:lncRNA from 1 species